rnacentral:rRNA from 1 species
UACGUAGGGUGCGAGCGUUGUCCGGAAUUAUUGGGCGUAAAGAGCUUGUAGGCGGUUUGUCGCGUCUGCUGUGAAAACUCAGGGCUUAACCCUGAGCUUGCAGUGGGUACGGGCAGACUAGAGUGCGGUAGGGGAGACUGGAAUUCCUGGUGUAGCGGUGAAAUGCGCAGAUAUCAGGAGGAACACCGGUGGCGAAGGCGGGUCUCUGGGCCGUAACUGACGCUGGAGGAGCGGAAAGCAUGGGGAGCGAACAGG